rfam:Neotoma lepida isolate 417 scaffold_6747, whole genome shotgun sequence.
UGGCUCAGUGGUUAAGAGCACUGGUUGAUCUUCCAGAGGACCUGGGUUCAAUUCCCAG